GUGGCGGACGGGUGAGUAACACGUAGGUAACCUGCCCAGAAGCGGGGGACAACAUUUGGAAACAGAUGCUAAUACCGCAUAACAACGUUGUUCGCAUGAACAACGCUUAAAAGAUGGCUUCUCGCUAUCACUUCUGGAUGGACCUGCGGUGCAUUAGCUUGUUGGUGGGGUAACGGCCUACCAAGGCGAUGAUGCAUAGCCGAGUUGAGAGACUGAUCGGCCACAAUGGGACUGAGACACGGCCCAUACUCCUACGGGAGGCAGCAGUAGGGAAUCUUCCACAAUGGGCGCAAGCCUGAUGGAGCAACACCGCGUGAGUGAAGAAGGGUUUCGGCUCGUAAAGCUCUGUUGUUAAAGAAGAACACGUAUGAGAGUAACUGUUCAUACGUUGACGGUAUUUAACCAGAAAGUCACGGCUAACUACGUGCCAGCAGCCGCGGUAAUACGUAGGUGGCAAGCGUUAUCCGGAUUUAUUGGGCGUAAAGAGAGUGCAGGCGGUUUUCUAAGUCUG
rnacentral:rRNA from 2 species